rnacentral:rRNA from 2 species
UUUGAAGUGUGGACGCCAGUCUGCAUGGAGCCGACCUUGAAAUACCACCCUUUAAUGUUUGAUGUUCUAACGUGGACCCGUAAUCCGGGUUGCGGACAGUGUCUGGUGGGUAGUUUGACUGGGGCGGUCUCCUCCUAAAGAGUAACGGAGGAGCACGAAGGUUGGCUAAUCCUGGUCGGACAUCAGGAGGUUAGUGCAAUGGCAUAAGCCAGCUUGACUGCGAGCGUGACGGCGCGAGCAGGUGCGAAAGCAGGUCAUAGUGAUCCGGUGGUUCUGAAUGGAAGGGCCAUCGCUCAACGGAUAAAAGGUACUCCGGGGAUAACAGGCUGAUACCGCCCAAGAGUUCAUAUCGACGGCGGUGUUUGGCACCUCGAUGUCGGCUCAUCACAUCCUGGGGCUGAAGUAGGUCCCAAGGGUAUGGCUGUUCGCCAUUUAAAGUGGUACGCGAGCUGGGUUUAGAACGUCGUGAGACAGUUCGGUCCCUAUCUGCCGUGGGCGCUGGAGAACUGAGGGGGGCUGCUCCUAGUACGAGAGGACCGGAGUGGACGCAUCACUGGUGUUCGGGUUGUCAUGCCAAUGGCACUGCCCGGUAGCUAAAUGCGGAAGAGAUAAGUGCUGAAAGCAUCUAAGCACGAAACUUGCCCCGA